UGAGGAAUAUUGGUCAAUGGGCGAGAGCCUGAACCAGCCAAGUCGCGUGAAGGAAGAAGGAUCUAUGGUUCGUAAACUUCUUUUUUAGGGGAAUAAAGUGCGGUACGUGUACCGUUUUGUAUGUACCCUACGAAUAAGGAUCGGCUAACUCCGUGCCAGCAGCCGCGGUAAUACGGGGGAUCCGAGCGUUAUCCGGAUUUAUUGGGUUUAAAGGGUGCGUAGGCGGAAGAAUAAGUCAUGGGUGAAAGUUUGCAGCUCAACUGUAAAAUUGCCGUUGAAACUGUUUUUCGUGAGUGUAAAUGAGGUAGGCGGAAUGUGUUGUGUAGCGGUGAAAUGCUUAGAUAUGACACAGAACACCUAUUGCGAAGGCAGCUUACUAAGAUACAACUGACGCUGAGGCACGAAAGCGUGGGGAUCGAACA
rnacentral:rRNA from 1 species